GUCUAACCUUCGGGAGGACGGUUACCACGGUGUGAUUCAUGACUGGGGUGAAGUCGUAACAAGGUAGCCGUAGGGGAACCUGCGGCUGGAUCACCUCCUUAAUCGACGA
rnacentral:rRNA from 3 species